rnacentral:rRNA from 1 species
UACAGAGGGGGCAAGCGUUAUUCGGAAUUAUUGGGCGUAAAGGGCGCGUAGGCGGCCUGGCAAGUGGAAGGUGAAAUCCCUCGGCUUAACCGAGGAACUGCCCUCCAAACUGCUUGGCUUGGGUCCGGGAGAGGUGAGUGGAAUUCCCAGUGUAGCGGUGAAAUGCGUAGAUAUUGGGAGGAACACCAGUGGCGAAGGCGGCUCACUGGACCGGAACUGACGCUGAGGCGCGAAAGCGUGGGGAGCAAACGGG